AAUUUGCAUGUGACGGUGUAAACAUAUGAUACCAAAUGUGUUUCAAAUACACCUACUUAUUUCAUGUGUUUACAUGUUAUAUUUCAAAAUAUUGCUGAAUAGACUUAAAAUAUACAAAAGCAGGUUAACGUGUGGGAGGCGUUUUCCUUAUUGGUUCUGUCGUUCUUUUACCAAACUAUAAAACAGGCAUACAUUUGGAAAUCUGUAUACUGCAACUGAAGUUAAAGGUAAGUUCUAUUACAAAACAAUUUACUUAAACAUAAUGUUUUCGUCGUGUAAAUAGCCAAAAUUUGAGAUAUACAAUUCGUUUUUUGUAUUUUUGAAGUGAAUAUAUUGCGUUUAUAAGUAAAGGUAACAUUAGGUAUCGAUGUUAAAAUCUCGCUAUGGGAUCAAGAAAAUACAAAUUAAGGUAACAGUCGAAAACCGAGAGAAUAGGUUAGUUGAUUAUGUUGUACAAGAAUGAUUAUUUAGUACGAAUAAGGUGGUUUCUUCAAAAGAAGAAGCAUGAGAUAGAAAAGCAUACUGUAUUCCUUAUUACAAAUUGGUGCCCCCAAAGACAAAUGUAGAAAUAAAAAAAUAUUAUUUUUAAGACGA
rnacentral:lncRNA from 1 species